ACCUCCGAAUUGGGGAUAACAUUGCGAAAGCGAUGCUAAUACCGAAUGACAUCUCAAUAACUUCGGUCUUUGAGAUCAAAGAUGGCCUCUCCAUGGAAGCUAUUGUUUGGAGAUGAGCCCGCGUACCAUUAGCUUGUUGGUAGGGUAAUGGCCUACCAAGGCAACGAUGGUUAGCUGGUCUGAGAGGAUGAUCAGCCACACUGGAACUGACACACGGUCCAGACUCCUACGGGAGGCAGCAGUGAGGAAUUUUGCGCAAUGGGGGAAACCCUGACGCAGCAACGCCGCGUGAGUGAUGAAGGCUUUCGGGUCGUAAAGCUCUGUCAAGUGAGAAGAACCUGCCCUUUGCUAAUAUCAUUGGGCACUGACGGUAUCACUGAAGGAAGCACCGGCUAACUCCGUGCCAGCAGCCGCGGUAAUACGGAGGGUGCAAGCGUUAUUCGGAAUCACUGGGCGUAAAGAGCGCGUAGGCGGUU
rnacentral:rRNA from 1 species